UAUUUUUAAAAUAUUUAGAAUUUAACGUAGUUUAAUAUGUUUUCCAACAAAAUUCCUUGUCGAGCUUCGGAAAAUCCAAACACUUGGACAGAUUUCCUUGGAAAUUCUUUCGUAUUGAAAAAAUGUCACUCUCAAUGGUUUCUUAUGACUUGUUCUACCAAAUCCUUUGUUUGUCUCACAACGAUAUUUUUAUUGAUUUCAGAUUUUCGUGAAGUACUUUCGCUUUGUCGAAUUCCGCCAACAACUCCCAAAAAUCAAACCAAUCAACAUUUUACUUGUGAUGAAUAUAAUUUUCAUGGAAUUAAAUUUAAUUUUCAUGAUAUAAGUUUAAUUAUGAAAUCGUUUUCGAUGUUUUCGAAUUUUGAAUUACUUUGGAAUGUAAUUUCGGAAAAUCAUGAUGCUCUUUUGAAUUCAAUUGGAUGGAAUGUCAAUUUGUUAUUUGUACGAAUAUUACUUUCAUUAAUUGGAUAUUUAUUUGGAAUUGUGAAAGGAAAUUAUUGGGAUAUGAUUCAAGAGGGUUUAAUGUAUGUUUUGGUUAUAAUUCAUUUCUUACAAUUGACAUGUAUAACAGAAAAUUUUUAUAAAAGAUGUUUGUACUUUAUU